AAUCAGGAAAUUUGCAAGAGAUAUUUAAAUAAUGAUUUUUAAGAUUUGGUUUUUGAAUUUGAAGUUUGAAAUACACAUUAACAUAUCAAAAAAUACAGUUAAGUUAGGAAUUUGUAAAGAAAAAAAGGUACAUCAAUUAUGGCAUUUCCAUCAAUUCUGUAAAUUGGAAGAUCAUUUUGACAUUGUUUCAAAAAAAAUGAUGACUUCACAAAUGAGAUUACAUAAGUGUGGUCGUAAUCUUGUGUAAAUUUAUGCUGGGAUGAUAUAACUUGAAAAGACAUGGAUUAAUUUUGCGUCAAUUUUAGGUUUUCUUACAUACUUUAUUUGCGUGGUGCAAUUGUCUCGCGUAUUAAUCGCAACUGGCAUACUCAAUAGAUGAAAAAAUCAAAUAAAAUCAUAAUAUAAACCCAACUCAAAAAAUGAAACCAAAGUGCAACUAAAUUACUUGCCUUAAGUGUUGCGCUAAUCAUAUGUAUUGAUUUUUUAGAUGCCUUC